rnacentral:rRNA from 1 species
UACAGGGGGUGCAAACGUUGCUCGGAAUCAUUGGGCGUAAAGCGCACGUAGGCGGUUUGUUAUGUCGGAUGUGAAAGCCCUUGGCUCAACUGAGGAAGUGCAUCCGAAACUGGCAAGCUAGAGUACUAAAGAGGGUCGCGGAAUUCCCGGUGUAGAGGUGAAAUUCGUAGAUAUCGGGAGGAACACCGGUGGCGAAGGCGGCGACCUGGGUCGAUACUGACGCUGAGGUGCGAAAGCGUGGGGAGCAAACAGG